AUUGAACGCUGGCGGCAGGCCUAACACAUGCAAGUCGAACGGUAACAGGAAGCAGCUUGCUGCUUUGCUGACGAGUGGCGGACGGGUGAGUAAUGUCUGGGAAACUGCCCGAUGGAGGGGGAUAACUACUGGAAACGGUAGCUAAUACCGCAUAACGUCGCAAGACCAAAGAGGGGGACCUUAGCGCCACUUGCCAUCGGAUGUGCCCAGAUGGGAUUAGCUAGUGGGUGGGGUAACGGCUCACCCAGGCGACGAUCCCUAGCUGGUAUGAGAGGAUGAUCAGACACACUGGACCUGAGACACGGUCCAGACUCCUACGGGAGGAAGCAGUGGGGAAUAUUGCACAAUGAGCGAAAGCCUGAUGCAGCCAUGCCGCGUGUAUGAAGAAGGCCUUCGGGUUGUAAAGUACUUUCAGCGGGGAGGAAGAGAGUAAAGUUAAUACCUUUGCUCAUUGACGUUCCCCGCAGCAGAAGCACCGGCUAACUCCGUG
rnacentral:rRNA from 1 species